UACGAACUGUGCAAACGUUAUUCGGAAUCACUGGGCUUACAGGGUGCGUAGGCGGCUUGUUAAGUAGGGUGUGAAAGCCCCCGGCUCAACCGGGGAAUUGCGCCCUAAACUGGCGAGCUGGAGUGAGAUAGGGGUGUGUGGAACUUCCGGUGGAGCGGUGAAAUGUGUUGAUAUCGGAAGGAACGCCGGUAGCGAAAGCGACACACUGGGUCUUGACUGACGCUGAGGCACGAAAGCCAGGGGAGCGAACAGG
rnacentral:rRNA from 1 species